GAGAAAUUAAAACUAUGACUAUUCUAAAAAAUAAUUAUGUUAUGAUCGUCUUAAUUUUCUUUAUUUUUAUUGUAAGGGUUUUAAACUUCGGAGAUCCUUUUCCUUGUAGUAAUGACGAGGAGUGUGAAUCAUAUUGUGGUACUCUUUUCAUUGAAAUUUGUAGUAAUUAUCAAUGUAGAUGUACACGAAAACAAUUACGUUGAAAAUAUAUUAUUAUAUACAAUGUUGUAGUUUUUAUGAUUA